rnacentral:rRNA from 1 species
GGAGCGUUCUGUAAGCCUGCGAAGGUGUGCUGUGAGGCAUGCUGGAGGUAUCAGAAGUGCGAAUGCUGACAUAAGUAACGAUAAAGCGGGUGAAAAGCCCGCUCGCCGGAAGACCAAGGGUUCCUGUCCAACGUUAAUCGGGGCAGGGUGAGUCGACCCCUAAGGCGAGGCCGAAAGGCGUAGUCGAUGGGAAACAGGUUAAUAUUCCUGUACUUGGUGUUACUGCGAAGGGGGGACGGAGAAGGCUAUGUUGGCCGGGCGACGGUUGUCCCGGUUUAAGCGUGUAGGCUGGUUUUCCAGGCAAAUCCGGAAAAUCAAGGCUGAGGCGUGAUGACGAGGCACUACGGUGCUGAAGCAACAAAUGCCCUGCUUCCAGGAAAAGCCUCUAAGCAUCAGGUAACAUCAAAUCGUACCCCAAACCGACACAGGUGGUCAGGUAGAGAAUACCAAGGCGCUUGAGAGAACUCGGGUGAAGGAACUAGGCAAAAUGGUGCCGUAACUUCGGGAGAAGGCACGCUGAUAUGUAGGUGAAGUCCCUCGCGGAUGGAGCUGAAAUCAGUCGAAGAUACCAGCUGGCUGCAACUGUUUAUUAAAAACACAGCACUGUGCAAACACGAAAGUGGACGUAUACGGUGUGACGCCUGCCCGGUGC